GAGGGUGUAGCUCAAGUGGUAGAGCGCAUGCUUAGCAUGCAUGAGGUCCUGGGUUCAAUCCCCAGUCCCUCC
rnacentral:tRNA from 1 species